GAUGAACGCUGGCGGCGUGCCUAAUACAUGCAAGUAGAACGCUGAAGGAGGAGCUUGCUCUUUCCGGAUGAGUUGCGAACGGGUGAGUAACGCGUAGGUAACCUGCCUGGUAGCGGGGGAUAACUAUUGGAAACGAUAGCUAAUACCGCAUAACAGUAGAUAUUGCAUGAUAUUUGCUUGAAAGGGGCAAUUGCUCCACUACCAGAUGGACCUGCGUUGUAUUAGCUAGUUGGUGAGGUAACGGCUCACCAAGGCGACGAUACAUAGCCGACCUGAGAGGGGGAUCGGCCACGCUGGGACUGAGACACGGCCCAGACUCCUACGGGAGGCAGCAGUAGGGAAUCUUCGGCGAUGGACGGAAGUCUGACCGAGAAACGCCGCGUGAGUGCAGAAGGUUUUCGGAUCGUAAAGCUCUGUUGUAAGAGAAGAACGAGUGUGAGAGUGGAAAGUUCACACUGUGACGGUAUCUUACCAGAAAGGGACGGCUAACUACGUG
rnacentral:rRNA from 1 species